rnacentral:rRNA from 1 species
GACGGGAGCUUGCUCCCUUAGGUCAGCGGCGGACGGGUGAGUAACACGUGGGUAACCUGCCUGUAAGACUGGGAUAACUCCGGGAAACCGGGGCUAAUACCGGAUGCUUGAUUGAACCGCAUGGUUCAAUCAUAAAAGGCGGCUUCGGCUGCCGUUUACAGAUGGACCCGCGGCGCAUUAGCUAGUUGGUGAGGUAACGGCUCACCAAGGCGACGAUGCGUAGCCGACCUGAGAGGGUGAUCGGCCACACUGGGACUGAGACACGGCCCAGACUCCUACGGGAGGCAGCAGUAGGGAAUCUUCCGCAAUGGACGAAAGUCUGACGGAGCAACGCCGCGUGAGUGAUGAAGGUUUUCGGAUCGUANAGCUCUGUUGUUAGGGAAGAACAAGUACCGUUCGAAUAGGGCGGUACCUUGACGGUACCUAACCAGAAAGCCACGGCUAACUACGUGCCAGCAGCCGCGGUAAUACGUAUGUGGCAAGCGUUGUCCGGAAUUAUUGCGCGUAGAGCGCGCGCAGGCGGUUUCUUAAGUCUGAUGUGAAAGCCCGCGGCUCAACCGGAGAGGGUCAUUGGACACUGGGGAACUUGAGU